rnacentral:rRNA from 1 species
AAUGGGCGCAAGCCUGAUCCAGCCAUGCCGCGUGCAGGAUGAAAGUGCUAUGCACUGUAAACUGCUUUUGUUUGGGAAAAAACCCCUGGUUUCUACCGGGGCUGAUUGUACCAAAAGAAUAAGGGACGGCUAACUUCGUGCCAGCAGCCGCGGUAAUACGAAGGUCCCAAGCGUUAUCCGGAUUUAUUGGGUUUAAAGGGUGCGUAGGCGGACUAUUAAGUCAGUGGUGAAAGCCCCAAGCUUAACUUGGGAACUGCCAUUGAUACUGAUGGUCUUGAGUACAUUUGAGGUGGGCGGAAUGUGUCAUGUAGCGGUGAAAUGCUUAGAUAUGACACAGAACACCGAUUGCGAAGGCAGCUCACUAAACUGUAACUGACGCUGAGGCACGAAAGCGUGGGGAGCAAA